ensembl:lncRNA
UUUGCCCGCUGAACUGCAGUGCCAGGAGAAAUCAACAAGUAUUUCCAGUUAAUAAAGUGGAAAUGUAAGUUUUGUGCAUUUUUCACCAAUGGCCAAUGAAGAUUAAUACAGCAUUUCAUGGAGUGUCAUGGACAUCAUCAGAGGAGCCUAGGCAUCACCGGAACGGCUCUGCACUGGAUGGAAUCCUAUCUCUCAGACAGAUCCUUCAAGGUACUGUGGAGGGGAGGCAUUUCUGAAACUCAGCAACUCACAACUGGAGUUCCUCAGGGCUAAGUGCUGAGUUCAGAAGGAUUGUCACUACAGACCUGGUGGAGUCUUUUCUGCAUGGACUAGAUGCCAUGAUGCCAAGGCUUUUGGAGGUGUACAGAGCAG